rnacentral:rRNA from 1 species
AUUGAACGCUGGCGGCAGGCUUAACACAUGCAAGUCGAGCGAGCGGCGGACGGGUGAGUAAUGUCUGGGAAACUGCCUGAUGGAGGGGGAUAACUACUGGAAACGGUAGCUAAUACCGCAUACCAUCAGAUGUGCCCAGAUGGGAUUAGCUCGUAGGUGGGGUAAUGGCUCACCUAGGCGACGAUCCCUAGCUGGUCUGAGAGGAUGACCAGCAAAACUGGAAAUGAGGAACGGGCCAGACUCAUACGGGAGGCAGCAGUGGGGAAUAGUGCACAAUGGGCGCAAGCCUGGUGCAGCCAUGCCGGGUGUGUGAAGAAGGCCUUCGGGUUGUAAAGCACUUAAAGAGAGAAGGCGUUACUCGCAGAAGAAGCACCGGCUAACUCCGUGCCAGCAGCCGCGGUAAUUC